rnacentral:rRNA from 1 species
GACGAACGCUGGCGGCGUGCUUAACACAUGCAAGUCGAGCGAGUGGCGGACGGGUGAGUAAUGUCUGGGAAACUGCCCGAUGGAGGGGGAUAACUACUGGAAACGGUAGCUAAUACCGCAUACCAUCGGAUGUGCCCAGAUGGGAUUAGCUAGUAGGUGGGGUAACGGCUCACCUAGGCGACGAUCCCUAGCUGGUCUGAGAGGAUGACCAGCCACACUGGAACGGAGACACGGUCCAGAUUCCUACGUGAGGCAGCAGUGGGGAAUAUUGCACAAUGGGCGCAAGCCUGAUGCAGCCACGCCGCGUGUAUGAAGAAGGCCUUCGGGUUGUAAAGUACUUUCAGCGAGGAGGCGUUACUCGCAGAAGAAGCCACGGCUAACUACGUGCCAGCAGCCGCGGUAAUAC